rnacentral:rRNA from 1 species
UCUAAGUAUAACCUGCCAGACAGGGAAACUGCGUACGGCUCAUUACACCAGCCUUAAUUUACUUGACCUUGACAACCUACUUGGAUAACUGUGGUGAUUCUAGAGCUAAUACAUGCACCAAAGCUCCGAUCCUCGCGGAGAGGAGCGCAUUUGUUCGCCACAAAACCAAGCGCCCAUCUGGGCGUCCAGUGCUGAACCAGAACAACUCAGCUGAUCGCACGGUCUUGUACCGGCGACGUGUCUUUCAAGUGUCUGCCUUAUCAACUUUCGAUGGUAGUGUACCUGACUACCAUGGUUGUGACGGCUAACGGAGGAUAAGGGUUCGACUCCGGAGAAGGGGCCUGAGAAAUGGCCACUACGUCUAAGGAUGGCAGCAGGCGCGCAAAUUACCCACUCUCAACGCGAGGAGGUAGUGACGAGAAAUAACGAGACCGUUCUCAUACGAGGCCGGUUAUUGGAAUGGGUACAAUUUAAA